UUAUUGUUUACGAAUUGUCUUUUAGACAAAGUAAACGAUUGGAUAGCUCGUGUGAGGCUCAACUAAUAACGUUUAUCUUCUUUGGCCAAUUAGAAGUAAGAUUUACCUUCUUGUUCCUCUGUCUCGAUUGACAUCAGAGUCACGUUAGAGUCACGUUAUUAUUCCUAUAUUGUUCGUCACAAAACACGUAUCCAAAACACGUAGAGAGGAACGAAUAUUCGAUUUGAUAUUGUGACUGUGUGGUUUGGUAAAUCAGAAUAAAUACAAUUUAUUUAGUUAAGUUUCCUAGGAGAAAAAAUACGAAAUGGAUAAACAUUUGAACAUUCAAAGGACUGCAUCGAUGGCAGUUAUAGGAAUAGGAUCCGUUGUGGACCUUUAUGUAUUGGGAAAAGCUUGGAAAUUAUUUACUGAAGAUGAAAAUGUCUACAUCCAAAUUGCUUUUUUUACAGCAAUGGGUUUCAAUACGCAUUUAUUUAUGUCAACGUUUAAAUAUUUUUACAUUUACAUUAAGUUAUUAUUA